AUGUAUUCUAUUUGCAAAAGUACGCAUCCGGCUACCGGCGUGGAACACUCCAUAACGUGUUAUUUUUUUAAUCGUUCGGAAAAAUGUCUCGUCGUUGCAGGGGCAAAUAUCAUUCGGGUAUUUCGCUUAAUACCUGACAUUGACAGUACAAAGAGGGAAAAAUAUACAGAAGCUCGCCCUCCGAAAAUGAAACUAGAAUGCUUAGCACAGUAUACACUACAUGGAAAUGUAAUGUCGAUGCAAGCUGUUCGUCUUGUAGGAUCUCAAAGAGAUUCACUUCUCUUAAGUUUUCGUGAUGCGAAACUGUCGGUUCUGGAGUACGAUAUAGAAACGCACGGUCUUCGUACAGUAUCUUUGCAUUAUUUCGAAGAAGAAGAAAUGCGAGAUGGGUGGACAAAUCAUCAUCACGUACCUAUAGUAAGAGUAGACCCAGAAGGCAGAUGCGCUGUUAUGUUGAUUUAUGGCCGAAAAUUAGUCGUCUUACCUUUUCGUAAAGAUCCCACUUUAGAUGAUGGCGACUUUAUUGAAAAUGCAAAGAUAUCAAGUAAAGCGCCAAUAUUGGCAUCUUACAUGGUAUUUCUCAAGAAUUUAGAGGAAAAGAUCGAUAAUAUCAUCGAUUUACAAUUUUUAUAUGGAUAUUACGAACCUACACUGUUAAUACUGUACGAACCAGUACGGACAUUCUCAGGACGUAUAGCCGUAAGACAAGAUACCUGCGCGAUGGUUGCAAUAUCCUUGAAUAUUCAACAAAAAGUGCAUCCAAUUAUCUGGUCUGUAUCGAAUUUACCCUUCGAUUGUUACCAGGCAGUACCAGUAAAAAAACCUCUAGGAGGGACAUUAAUUAUAUCAGUAAAUUCUUUGAUAUAUCUCAAUCAAAGCAUACCACCCUAUGGUGUAUCCUUGAAUAGUUUAGCAGAAACAAGUACAAAUUUUCCUCUUAAACCUCAAGAAGGAGUAAAAAUAAGCUUAGAAGGUGCACAGGUUGCAUUUAUUUCAGCAGAUCGUUUAGUAAUGUCUCUGAAAAGUGGAGAAUUGUACGUUUUGUCACUUUUCGCGGACAGCAUGCGGGCUGUACGUGGCUUUCAUUUUGACAAAGCGGCAGCUAGUGUUUUAACUUCAUGCGUUUGCUUGUGCGAGGAAAGCUAUCUAUUCCUUGGCUCACGUCUCGGAAAUUCUUUAUUAUUAAGAUUCACUGAAAAAGAAAAUGAAAGUACACAAAGUAAUCGCGAUUCAGAUUUGUUCUUUAAUGAUAGCACUGGAGAAACUCCUGCGAAAAAAGUGAAACAAGAUUUUUUGGGAGAUUGGAUGGCUUCAGACGUUUUGGACAUUAAAGAUCCCGAAGAACUUGAAGUCUACGGAAAUGAAACUCAGACAUCUAUUCAAAUUACAUCUUACAGUUUUGAAGUUUGUGACAGUUUGUUGAACAUAGGACCUUGUGGUAAUAUUUCCAUGGGAGAACCUGCUUUUUUAUCCGAAGAAUUUUCGCAGGCGCACGAUCCUGAUGUGGAAUUAGUGACUACUUCUGGUUAUGGAAAAAAUGGCGCUCUAUGCGUUUUGCAAAGAUCCAUUCGUCCUCAGGUUGUUACAACGUUUGAACUGCCUGGUUGCGAAGAUAUGUGGACCGUAAUUGGCCCUGCAAAUGAUGAUCUGGAUAAAUCUGAAACGGAAGGAGUACACGCCUUUCUAAUUUUAAGUCAUGAAGAUUCGACCAUGAUUCUCCAAACGGGCCAAGAAAUUAACGAAGUAGAUCAAAGUGGUUUUAGUACACAAGGAACGACUGUGUUUGCUGGUAACUUAGGCGGAAAUAAAUAUAUCAUACAGAUCACACAAACGGGCGUGCGAUUGAUGAUCGGCACUGAGCAAAUUCAGCACAUGCCAAUGGAUUUUGGCUGUCCCAUCAUACACGCAAGUUGCGCAGAUCCAUACGUUGUGCUGCUCACCGAAGAUGGUCAAGUAAUGCUCUUAACACUCAGAGAAGGUAGAGGGACAGCCCGAUUACAUGUUCAACCUGCAAAUUUACUAUACCGACCACAAAUAGAAGCCGUAUGUGCAUACAGAGAUGUGAGCGGUAUUUUCACAACCCAUUUAGCAGAAGAGGUAGAAGAUCUCUCAUCCGAAAAGGAGAAACAAUUCGAUGAACCCGCCAUUGUUGAGAAUAUUGAUAACGAGGACGAAUUGCUUUAUGGUGAUGCACCUGCUUUUCAAAUGCCAUUAAUACCACAAGCUAAACCUAGUGAUUCGACUUCUAAAAAGAUUCCUUGGUGGCAGAAAUCUCUGCAAGAAAUUAAACCUACAUAUUGGUUACUUGUGUACAGAGACAGUGGAACUUUAGAAAUUUAUUCUUUGCCUGAUUUGCGCUUGUCGUAUCUCAUAAAGAGUUUUGGUUAUGGACAAAGCGUUUUGCACGACAGUAUGGAAUCAACUACUGUAACUUCGACACAAGUAAAUGAAAUACCAAAUCCAGAAAUGCAGGUUCGAGAGAUUUUAAUUGUCGCCUUGGGUCAUCAUGGGAACAGGCCAAUGUUAUUGGUUAGGUUAGACAAUGAACUGCAAAUGUAUCAAGCGUAUAAGUAUCCGAAGGGUUACCUGAAACUUCGAUUUAAGAAGCUGGAUCAUGGCAUCAUACCAGGAAUUUUAAGAUCAAAACUUAAGGAGGAGGAUUUGGGCACGCAGGAUGAUCGACGAGUUUCUGUAAUGCGGUACUUCAGUAAUAUCGCGGGUUAUAACGGGGUUUUCAUUUGCGGAGAUUAUCCGCAUUGGAUAUUCUUAACAGGUCGUGGAGAAUUGCGCGCGCAUCCAAUGACAAUUGACGGACCCAUUAAAUCAUUUGCACCUUUUAAUAAUGUCAAUUGUCCACAGGGAUUUUUGUAUUUCAACAGGAAGGAGGAAUUGCGAAUUUGUGUAUUGCCCACACAUCUUUCGUACGAUGCUCCGUGGCCCGUGAGAAAAGUUCCUUUAAGAUGUACGCCUCACUUUGUUACUUAUCAUCUUGAAAGUAAAACGUAUUGCGUAAUAACGAGCGUAGCUGAGCCGCUAAAAAGUUAUUAUAGAUUUAACGGAGAAGACAAGGAAUUUACCGAGGAAGAACGAUCGGACAGAUUUUUAUAUCCCUCUCAGGAACAGUUUUGUAUAAUAUUAUUUUCACCAGUUUCAUGGGAAACAAUUCCUAAUACGAAAAUCGAAUUAGAUCAAUGGGAACAUGUUACAUGCCUUAAGAAUGUCUCCCUUGCUUAUGAAGGGACGAGGUCUGGUCUCAAGGGAUACAUUGUACUUGGAACAAAUUAUAACUAUGGAGAGGAUAUUACCAGCAGAGGCAGGAUAUUAAUUUUUGACAUAAUCGAAGUUGUUCCUGAGCCAGGUCAACCUUUAACGAAAAAUAGGUUCAAGCAAAUUUACGCCAAAGAACAAAAAGGACCUAUCACGGCUAUAAGUCAAGUAUCCGGCUUUUUGGUAUCUGCUGUCGGCCAAAAGAUAUACAUUUGGCAAUUGAAAGACAAUGAUCUUGUAGGUGUUGCAUUUAUAGAUACCCAGAUUUACAUUCACCAAAUGUUAAGUAUUAAAAGUUUAAUACUGGUAGCGGAUGUUUACAAGUCGAUCAGUCUAUUGAGAUUUCAAGAAGAGUAUCGAACUCUUUCGCUCGUGAGCAGGGAUUUUCGACCAGCGGAAGUUUUUACCAUAGAGUACCUGAUCGACAACAACAAUCUCGGAUUCCUCGUAGCCGAUGGCGAAAGCAAUCUUGCGCUCUUCAUGUAUCAGCCUGAAUCGAGGGAAAGUUUGGGAGGUCAAAAACUUAUUCGAAAAGCUGAUUUCCAUUUAGGUCAGAAAGUUAACUCAUUUUUCCGGAUAAAAUGUAAAACGACGGAUCCUGCUAAUAGCAGGAAACAGUUUAUUGGUGCUGAUAAGAGGCACGUAACCAUGUAUGCAACCUUAGAUGGAAGUCUCGGAUAUAUUCUUCCAGUACCUGAAAAAACUUACAGACGACUUCUUAUGCUGCAGAAUGUUUUGGUGUCGCACAUUUGCCACAUUGGAGGUUUAAAUCCAAAGUCUUAUAGGACAUAUAAAAGUUACGUGCGUAUGCAAGGAAAUCCUGCGAGAGGCAUAAUCGACGGAGAUCUAAUCUGGAAAUACCUGAACUUACCUUUCAAUGAGAAAUCAGAAGUAGCCAAGAAAAUUGGAACACGUAUUCCCGAAAUAAUAGAAGAUAUAGAAGAAAUUAACCGACAAACGGCUCAUUUUUAAAGUUUUUACAUGUAAAAAAUCCAUGUAUGCCGUCCCCAUGAAGUUUGGUAUUUAUUGUUUUCAAUGUCAUGUCAACUUCAUGAGCUAUGAGGUGCGAUCUGUCAGACUAUCACAAAGCAGUCCUUUGUUUCGUGUAAUAAUCUUUCAAUUUGUAAAAUAUGUUGUUUUUUUGGUUGAAAUGAUUGUAUUUUUUACCUAGAAAUACUGUAAAUUUAUUAUGUGAGGUAUAGAAAAAUGACAAAAACGUUGUGAACAAUUUUUAGGCAAAAUGAAAAAAUCUAGAGUAAUUUGCACCAACCCUACAGGAUUCAGCCGGAAAAGUGUUUUUGAAAACAGAGCAUCUAGAU